rnacentral:misc_RNA from 1 species
GGUUCCCUUACGCUGGUUAGAUGAUCGUGAUCAACGUCCACUUUCUAUGCAUAUCACUAGACAACUUUUUACACGUGCAGUGGGGGGAUUAAUCAGGAUGUGUGACGAAAUCAGUCCCAAUAUUGCGAAAGAGAUAUCUAACAAUGUGGACAACUUUUUAUUUGACUGUGAUGGUGUGUUAUGGAAUGCUAAUGAAGUUAUUCCCGGAAGCCUAGAAACUGUGAAAGGCCUAAAAGCUUUGGGGAAGAGGGUAUUUUACAUCACAAACAACAGCACAAAAACUCGUGCUGAGUAUGCCGAGAAGUGUGUCAAGCUCGGAUUUCCUGCAUCAGAGGAGGAGAUUGUGUGUACAAGUUACAUUUCGGCCCUGUACCUACAUAAUAUGAACUUCCAAGGAAAGAUUUAUGUUGUUGGCAAUCCCAGCAUGGGGGAAGAGUUGGAUAGGUUUGGCUUGAAGCACACAGGAAUUGGUGUGAGUAUGAAAAAUAAGACUGAGUUUGUUUAUGUUGGGUUUUGCUAAAGACAGAACAUAAAUAAGGAAACUAUGACCCUUUGGUAAGAAAAAUUACUCUGAGAAAAAUUUAGAUUUUAAAUCAUGCACAAUAAGUAAACAAAUUAGAAUUAUCUGAUAUUGUGUGCAUUUUUAAUUUUUAUGGAAUAUCAUUGAGUGAUACAAUUGAUUUCUCUUGUAAAGCAGCAUAAUUUGAUUCGCCUGAAUAAGCUACAAUGAUAAGUAACUCCUCUAUUUCCUUUCUCAGUCAUUAGGCUCAUGGGACAGAGCUUAACAUACUCAGUCCCUCUGGUGUUGUCUGGACUGUGUUUUACCAAAGAACUAAUGAAAAGUUACAAAUCUUUUCAGUCUAAUGGAAUGAUUCCCGAUGCACAAAAUGUGUUAAAAAAUAUUUCAAUCUCUUUAAAUGUUUUUUUUUUUUUGGGGGGGGGGGGGGGGUGGUGGUAGGAAAACAUUUAUAAUACAGUUUUUUCAAAUGUAUAUAUUCACAUUGAAUCAGUAUUUUUUGGCUUUCAACAAUGACCAAGCUGUCAUGAAAAGAAUUGCAGAUGAUGAUAAUUUUAGUUUUCACAAAUGUAUGUUUGGACUCUAUAAUUUGUAUGUACAGUUUUUUUUCCAUAUUGUGUAACUGUAUGUUUAGGGACUUUAUUCUCUUGAAGCCAGACCCUCCCGACGAUAACCAAGCAGGGCUACAAGUUGUGUCAGGACUUACCCUUGACCCUGAGAUAAAAUGUGUCUUGGUUGGAUUUGACAAAUAUAUUUCUUAUCCCAAAAUGAUGAAAGCUGCGUCAUAUGCCAGACAGAAGGAUUGUAUCUUUCUAGCCACCAAUGAAGAUACCCACCUCCCUAUGGAUGUGCCUUUUGUUAUUCCAGGGACGGGGACCAUUGUUGCCUCUGUAAAGGUUCCUGCCCGGAGAGAACCUCUAGUGAUGGGAAAACCGGAAACCAACAUGUUCAGAUGUCUACAGAAGGCCCACAAUCUGGACCCAGCCAGGUGUAUGAUGGUGGGAGACAGGUGUAACACUGACAUAUCCAUGGCCACAAACUGUGGGAUGCAGUCCCUUCUGGUCCUGACCGGGGUCUCCACCCUGUCUGACGUAGAGACCUACAAGGCUUCGGGGGACCCCACCCAGGCUACUUACGUACCCACCUACUAUGCCAACAAAUUGGGUCAGCUCGGGAAACUCCUAGGAUUCAGUAUACCAUAGAGAAUAUAGGAAAGCAAUUAGAAACUUCUAUUAUAAAAAUGAUGUAAUUUUUAAAAAAAAAAUUUUUAUCCAGAUAUCAAUUAUUCCUUUGUAAUAUCAGCCAUAACUGUAUAUGUAUAUAUGAAUCUGUUUGAUUUUGAUAGAAUGUUGAACGAAUUUUACAAUUGUUAGAUAACCAAGAUGUUUAAAUGUUACAAAAAUAAAAUUUUGUAUGAU